rfam:Mesocricetus auratus contig138349, whole genome shotgun sequence.
GUGGAGAUGGUUCAGUAGGUAAGAGCACUGGCUGCUCUUCCAGAGGACCUGGGUUCAAUUCCCAGCACCCACA